CCUACGGGGCGCUGCAGUGAGGAAUAUUGGUCAAUGGACGAGAGUCUGAACCAGCCAAGUAGCGUGAAGGAUGACUGCCCUAUGGGUUGUAAACUUCUUUUAUAAAGGAAUAAAACGAGGCACGUGUGCCUUUUUGCAUGUACUUUAUGAAUAAGGAUCGGCUAACUCCGUGCCAGCAGCCGCGGUAAUACGGAGGAUCCGAGCGUUAUCCGGAUUUAUUGGGUUUAAAGGGAGCGUAGAUGGGUUGUUAAGUCAGUUGUGAAAGUUUGCGGCUCAACCGUAAAAUUGCAAUUGAUACUGGCAGUCGUGAGUACAGUUGAGGUAGGCGGAAUUCGUGGUGUAGCGGUGAAAUGCUUAGAUAUCACGAAGAACCCCGAUUGCGAAGGCAGCUUACUAAACUGUGACUGACAUUGAUGCUCGAAAGUGUGGGUAUCAAACAGGAUUAGAUACCCUGGUAGUC
rnacentral:rRNA from 1 species